UACGUAGGUGGCAAGCGUUGUCCGGAUUUAUUGGGUUUAAAGGGUGCGUAGGCGGUCUUAUAAGUCAGUGCUGAAAUAUCCCGGCUUAACCGGGAGGGUGGCAUUGAUACUGUAGGACUUGAGUGAAGUCGAGGUAGGCGGAAUUGACGGUGUAGCGGUGAAAUGCUUAGAUAUCGUCAAGAACACUAAUAGUGAAGACAGUUUACUAGACUUCAACUGACGCUGAGGCACGAAAGUGUGGGGAUCAAACAGG
rnacentral:rRNA from 1 species